rnacentral:rRNA from 1 species
UACGUAGGGUGCGAGCGUUGUCCGGAAUUAUUGGGCGUAAAGGGCUCGUAGGCGGUUUGUCGCGUCGGGAGUGAAAACCCAGGGCUUAACCCUGGGCUGGCUUCCGAUACGGGCAGACUAGAGGUAUGCAGGGGGAGAACGGAAUUCCUGGUGUAGCGGUGAAAUGCGCAGAUAUCAGGAGGAACACCGGUGGCGAAGGCGGUUCUCUGGGCAUUACCUGACGCUGAGGAGCGAAAGUGUGGGAGCGAACAGG